UUGUCAACAUAGUUGGUUUAGUAUUGUGAAGAGGAUAGUUGCUUGGCUACCUAAGAACUAGUUUUAGAACAUAGAAAUGAGAAUCAUUAUUUAAUCAUGGUUCAUGUUGUGUGGCAAAUGCCGCAGACUGAUGUUUUUUUUUUUCUUUUCCAGUUAUAUAAAUAUGUUUAUUCAAUGGAUUUGAUUAUGUUGUGUUAUGCUUGUUUCGCUUAAUUCCUCGGUUCUGUUGAAAUUUGAAAUAGUCAUUGAGGAUCAAGCUGGAAAACAGUUCAAAUGUAGGAUCAAUUGAGGAAGCCGAAAUGACAAAUCAAUGGAUUGAUUUAUUUAGGGAUUUGAUAUAUGAAUACUUGAUUUGCUCGGCAUUGUAAAGACAUCCACAACUUUCUCUUUUUGUUAUGAGCAUUUUAAGAUUCCCUUCAUUAAGUGGCUACAAACCUUUUUGUGAAUCCCCAAAACAAAAGUAAAAAAUGAAAUUCAUCCGUAAAUAUAAAUUACUUUAUUA